CAGGCUUAACACAUGCAAGUCGAGGGGCAGCAUGGUCUUAGCUUGCUAAGGCCGAUGGCGACCGGCGCACGGGUGAGUAACACGUAUCCAACCUGCCGUCUACUCUUGGACAGCCUUCUGAAAGGAAGAUUAAUACAAGAUGGCAUCAUGAGUCCGCAUGUUCACAUGAUUAAAGGUAUUCCGGUAGACGAUGGGGAUGCGUUCCAUUAGAUAGUAGGCGGGGUAACGGCCCACCUAGUCUUCGAUGGAUAGGGGUUCUGAGAGGAAGGUCCCCCACAUUGGAACUGAGACACGGUCCAAACUCCUACGGGAGGCAGCAGUGAGGAAUAUUGGUCAAUGGGCGAGAGCCUGAACCAGCCAAGUAGCGUGAAGGAUGACUGCCCUAUGGGUUGUAAACUUCUUUUAUAAAGGAAUAAAGUCGGGUAUGGAUACCCGUUUGCAUGUACUUUAUAAAUAAGGAUCGGCUAACUCCGUGCCAGCAGCCGCGGUAAUACGGAGGAUCCGAGCGUUAUCCGGAUUUAUUGGGUUUAAAGGGAGCGUAGAUGGAUGUUUAAGUCAGUUGUGAAAGUUUGCGGCUCAACCGUAAAAUUGCAGUUGAUACUGGAUAUCUUGAGUGCAGUUGAGGCAGGCGGAAUUCGUGGUGUAGCGGUGAAAUGCUUAGAUAUCACGAAGAACUCCGAUUGCGAAGGCAGCCUGCUAAGCUGCAACUGACAUUGAGGCUCGAAAGUGUGGGUAUCAAACAGGAUUAGAUACCCUGGUAGUCCACACGGUAAACGAUGAAUACUCGCUGUUUGCGAUAUACAGCAAGCGGCCAAGCGAAAGCGUUAAGUAUUCCACCUGGGGAGUACGCCGGCAACGGUGAAACUCAAAGGAAUUGACGGGGGCCCGCACAAGCGGAGGAACAUGUGGUUUAAUUCGAUGAUACGCGAGGAACCUUACCCGGGCUUAAAUUGCAGAUGAAUUACGGUGAAAGCCGUAAGCCGCAAGGCAUCUGUGAAGGUGCUGCAUGGUUGUCGUCAGCUCGUGCCGUGAGGUGUCGGCUUAAGUGCCAUAACGAGCGCAACCCUUGUUGUCAGUUACUAACAGGUUCCGCUGAGGACUCUGACAAGACUGCCAUCGUAAGAUGUGAGGAAGGUGGGGAUGACGUCAAAUCAGCACGGCCCUUACGUCCGGGGCUACACACGUGUUACAAUGGGGGGUACAGAGGGCCGCUACCACGCGAGUGGAUGCCAAUCCCCAAAACCUCUCUCAGUUCGGACUGGAGUCUGCAACCCGACUCCACGAAGCUGGAUUCGCUAGUAAUCGCGCAUCAGCCACGGCGCGGUGAAUACGUUCCCGGGCCUUGUACACACCGCCCGUCAAGCCAUGGGAGCCGGGGGUACCUGAAGUGCGUAACCGCGAGGAGCGCCCUAGGGUAAAACUGGUGACUG
rnacentral:rRNA from 1 species